GGCGGCCAACAGUCAGGACGGAAGACAUCGAACGUCCGACGCCCACAUUUAAAUCUAUUUUUUUUAGUUUUUUGUUGUUUUAUUCUUACUAUUUUUUUCAAUAAGUAACACCAUGGAAUUCCCCAAAGAAACACCUUCGUUGCGUAGGGUACGGAUUUUCAAACAGACCUUGAUGUUCCUAGCCUCCAGCUGGGCCUACCUGUCGGGGGGCAUGUCGCUCACCUGGCCCAAUGUCUUGGCCUCCGACAUCCUCGUGGACAACAGCACAAUGUUUGGCACUCAGAUCAGCCUGUCCGAUUCGCAGAUGGACA